rnacentral:rRNA from 1 species
AGCGAGCGCUGGCGGCAGGCUUAAUACAUGCAAGUCGAGCACCUGUAGCAAUACAGGAGCGGCAGACGGGAGAGUAACACGUGGGAACGUGCCCUUUAGUUCGGAACAACCCAGGGAAACUUGGGCUAAUACCGGAUACGCCCUUACGGGGAAAGAUUUAUCGCUAAAGGAUCGGCCCGCGUCUGAUUAGCUAGUUGGUGGGGUAAUGGCCCACCAAGGCGACGAUCAGUAGCUGGUCUGAGAGGAUGAUCAGCCUCAUUGGGACUGAGACACGGCCCAAACUCCUCCGGGAGGCAGCAGAAGGGAAUAUUGGACAGUGGGGGCAACCCUGAUCCAGCCAUGCCGCGUGAGUGAUGAAGGCCUUAGGGUUGUAAAGCUCUUUCGGCGGGGAAGAUAAUGACGGUACCCGCAUAAGAAGCCCCGGCUAACUUCGUGCCAGCAGCCGCCGUAA